rnacentral:tRNA from 1 species
GAAGGUAUAGCUCAGUGGUAGAGGGCAUGCUUAGCAUGCCUGAGGUUCUAGGUUUGAUACCCAGUAGCUCCA